CAGCCGCCGCGGUAAUACGGAGGGUGCAAGCGUUAAUCGGAAUUACUGGGCGUAAAGCGUGCGUAGGCGGUUCGUUAAGUCUGUUGUGAAAGCCCCGGGCUCAACCUGGGAAUGGCAAUGGAUACUGGCGAGCUAGAGUGUGUCAGAGGAUGGUGGAAUUCCCGGUGUAGCGGUGAAAUGCGUAGAGAUCGGGAGGAACAUCAGUGGCGAAGGCGGCCAUCUGGGACAACACUGACGCUGAGGCACGAAAGCGUGGGGAGCAAACAGGAUUAGAGACCCCGGUAGUCCCUGUCUCUUAUAC
rnacentral:rRNA from 1 species